rnacentral:rRNA from 1 species
GAGGGGUGCAAGCGUUAUUCGGAAUCAUUGGGGCGUAAAGAGUGUGUAGACGGCACGUUAAGUCAACUGUUAAAUUCUCCGGCCUAACCGGGAGGGUCAGCGGGUAGAAACUGGUGUGCUAGAGGAUGGAAGAGAGAAGUGGAAUUCUCGGAGUAGCGGUAAAAUGCGUAGAUCUCGAGAGGAACACCGAUGGCGAAGGCAGCUUCUUGGUCCAUUCCUGACGUUGAGACACGAAAGCGUGGGGAGCAAACAGGAUUAGAUACCCUGGUAGUCCACGCCGUAAACGAUGAUCACUAGACGUCAGCUCUGUUUUGCAGUGUUGGUGUCGCAGCUAACGCGUUAAGUGAUCCGCCUGGGGAGUACGAUCGCAAGAUUA